UACGUAGGGUGCAAGCGUUAAUCGGAAUUACUGGGCGUAAAGCGUGCGCAGGCGGUUUUGUAAGUCAGAUGUGAAAUCCCCGGGCUUAACCUGGGAACUGCGUUUGAAACUACAAGGCUAGAGUGUGGCAGAGGGGGGUGGAAUUCCUCGUGUAGCAGUGAAAUGCGUAGAGAUGUGGAGGAACACCGAUGGCGAAGGCAGCCCCCUGGGUUAACACUGACGCUCAGGCACGAAAGCGCGGGGAGCGAACAGG
rnacentral:rRNA from 1 species